rnacentral:rRNA from 1 species
UACAGAGGUCCCAAGCGUUGUUCGGAUUCAUUGGGCGUAAAGAGCUCGUAGGCGGUUCGUCGCGUCGGCUGUGAAAUCCCCGAGGCUCAACCUCGGGUCUGCAGUCGAUACGGGCGGACUGGAGUUCGGCAGGGGAGACUGGAAUUCCUGGUGUAGCGGUGAAAUGCGCAGAUAUCAGGAGGAACACCGGUGGCGAAGGCGGGUCUCUGGGCCGAUACUGACGCUGAGGAGCGAAAGCGUGGGGAGCGAACAGG